rnacentral:rRNA from 1 species
AGAGAUGGAUUGGUGGCCUUCGGGAACUCUGAGACAGGUGCUGCAUGGCUGUCGUCAGCUCGUGUUGUGAAAUGUUGGGUUAAGUCCCGCAACGAGCGCAACCCUUAUCCUUUGUUGCCAGCGGUUAGGCCGGGAACUCAAAGGAGACUGCCAGUGAUAAACUGGAGGAAGGUGGGGAUGACGUCAAGUCAUCAUGGCCCUUACGAGUAGGGCUACACACGUGCUACAAUGGCGCAUACAAAGAGAAGCGACCUCGCGAGAGCAAGCGGACCUCAUAAAGUGCGUCGUAGUCCGGAUUGGAGUCUGCAACUCGACUCCAUGAAGUCGGAAUCGCUAGUAAUCGUAGAUCAGAAUGCUACGGUGAAUACGUUCCCGGGCCUUGUACACACCGCCCGUCACACCAUGGGAGUGGGUUGCAAAAGAAGUAGGUAGCUUAACCUUCGGGAGGGCGCUUACCACUUUGUGAUUCAUGACUGGGGUGAAGUCGUAACAAGGUAGGCGUAGUGCU